AUCUCGAUGUUAAAGAAUAAGUUUAAUAUUGAUUACUCGUUAAAGAAUUAUCAUAUAUUUCUAGCAACCUCUAUUAGGAAAACUGAGGGUACACCUUAAUCUUCUCUUCCUCUUCUGUUUUCCUUCAUUUCCAUUUAAUUCCUCUAUACCUCUUUUUUUCGAGUUUUGAAUUUGAUAUCAUGAUUUAUAAGGAACCCCCACUUCCAAUUGAGAGAUUGUGAGUUCGAGUCUCCCCAAGAGCAAGGUAGGAAAUUCUUGGAGGGAAGGAUAUAGGGGGUCUAUUUGGAAACCUUCUCUCUACCCCAGAGUAGGGAUAAGAUCUGCGUACACAGUAUUUUUC
rnacentral:lncRNA from 1 species